UCACAGCCAAGCUAUAUCAAGUUCAAUCUCGUUUUGAUGCUCAUAAAAGACCAUUCCACCAAAGUUUGAGGAAGAGAGUCUUCAACCUAAUUUAAUUCAAAAUAAGCGGAAACAAUACGAGAAAUGCUCAUGUAUCAGAAGUUUAGUUAAGUUGAGAAAUUAUGGAUAUAUAAAAGAAGUUAUGUUAAGAAAUGGCCAUCAACCAAGUAAUAAUCAAAGGGAAUUUAAGACUUAUGAAUAGAAGAUAUGCAGAGGAAAAAGAUAUGUUGAAAUAAUGCUCAAACCCUACCAAAAUUACUGGUGAUUUCCCUUUGAGUAUUGUUGUAACGUCAAUGUCAAUGUCUCCAUUCAAGCAUCAUUUGUACAAACUGUGAUUAAUUUCAAUUCCAGCAAUGUUAAUGUCUCCUAAUCUUGUUUUCAGUUAAUUUUGUUUGGCUCAUUCCUUUGAGUUUAGCGUUCUUUGCUUUGAUUUCCUUUACCCCCUGCAUUGCACCUUUAAAUAAUUCACAGUACUUCCACUUUAAUUUCUGAGCAAUUUGCUAUUCCUGUCAUUUAGAUCGAUUUCCAUCAAACCAUUUUAUCCAUUGCUUGCAGGAGCUAGCAUGCAUACAUGCACACAAUCAAAGCCAUCUUUGGAAAAAUUGUUUGUGAGCAGUUUAAUCACUUUAGAGCCAAGCUCGAAUCAGAAAGUAAGCUUGUAAUUUGUUUUCCCAAUUGCUUGACAGUCUGAUCAACUUACAUUGAGCGAAUUUGCU
rnacentral:lncRNA from 1 species